rnacentral:lncRNA from 1 species
UUCCUGACACCACUAUCCUACAUUCUUCCACUGCCUCUUGCUGCUCUGUCAUGAAUUGUCUCGGGCUUGUGCUUCUACGGAUGGAGCCUGAGCACCCGCUUUGGCAUGCUCCAGCUUCUCACUGCCCCUGUUAUGAGGCCACUCAUCUUCACAAGAUAACUAUGUGAGACGGCUCACUGCUCCUGUUCGAAGUUCGUCAGCAACUCGGCACCAGUUCAACCCUGGCAGUCGCGCGAUCACCUCAGUAACAGCUCGGCACGACUUGCCACCGCUUCCAGUAACUAG